rnacentral:rRNA from 1 species
GACGAACGCUGGCGGCGUGCCUAAUACAUGCAAGUCGAACGCUGAAGGAGGAGCUUGCUUCUCUGGAUGAGUUGCGAACGGGUGAGUAACGCGUAGGUAACCUGCCUGGUAGCGGGGGAUAACUAUUGGAAACGAUAGCUAAUACCGCAUAAGAUUGACUAUUGCAUGAUAGUCAGUUAAAAGGUGCAAUUGCAUCACUACCAGAUGGACCUGCGUUGUAUUAGCUAGUUGGUGGGGUAACGGCUCACCAAGGCGACGAUACAUAGCCGACCUGAGAGGGUGAGCGGCCACACUGGGACUGAGAAACGGCGCAGACUACUACGGGAGGCAGCAGUGGGGAAUUUUGGGCAAUGGGCGAAAGCCUGAUGGAGCAAUGCCGAGUGUGUGAAGAAGGCCUUCGGGUUGUAAAAGACUUGUGUCAGGGAAGAAAAGGCUGGUGCGAAUAUCGACAGCUGAUGACGGUACCUGAGGAAUAAGCACCGGCUAACUACGUG